AACGAACGCUGGCGGCAGGCCUAACACAUGCAAGUCGAGCGAGGACUUCGGUCCUAGCGGCGGACGGGUGAGUAACGCGUGGGAACGUGCCCCUUGGUACGGAAUAGCCCCGGGAAACUGGGAGUAAUACCGUAUGAGCUCUACGGAGGAAAGAUUUAUCGCCAAGGGAUCGGCCCGCGUUGGAUUAGGUAGUUGGUGGGGUAAUGGCCUACCAAGCCGACGAUCCAUAGCUGGUUUGAGAGGAUGAUCAGCCACACUGGGACUGAGACACGGCCCAGACUCCUACGGGAGGCAGCAGUGGGGAAUCUUGGACAAUGGGGGCAACCCUGAUCCAGCCAUGCCGCGUGAGUGAUGAAGGCCCUAGGGUUGUAAAGCUCUUUCGGCGGGGACGAUAAUGACGGUACCCGCAGAAGAAGCCCCGGCUAACUUCGUGCCAGCAGCCGCAGUAACAC
rnacentral:rRNA from 1 species